ACGAACGCUGGCGGCGUGCUUAACACAUGCAAGUCGAGCGGAAAGGCCCUUCGGGGUACUCGAGCGGCGAACGGGUGAGUAACACGUGAGUAACCUGCCCCAGACUUUGGGAUAACCCUCGGAAACGGGGGCUAAUACCGGAUACGACACAGCUUCGCAUGGGGUCUGUGUGGAAAGUUUUUCGGUUUGGGAUGGGCUCGCGGCCUAUCAGCUUGUUGGUGGGGUGAUGGCCUACCAAGGCGACGACGGGUAGCCGGCCUGAGAGGGCGACCGGCCACACUGGGACUGAGACACGGCCCAGACUCCUACGGGAGGCAGCAGUGGGGAAUAUUGCACAAUGGGCGGAAGCCUGAUGCAGCGACGCCGCGUGAGGGAUGACGGCCUUCGGGUUGUAAACCUCUUUCAGCAGGGACGAAGCGUAAGUGACGGUACCUGCAGAAGAAGCGCCGGCAAACUACGUG
rnacentral:rRNA from 1 species